ensembl:lncRNA
AACACCGACCCGGACGUGGGGUCACCAGAACGAACCUGGGAUACCCACGACGCCCAGGCUAGGGCAGGUGCCAGGCCUCCCUACUCGCAGACACACCCGGUAGACGCUGCUCCCAGUCCGCUGCCGCCGCCUCGUCUCGCCCUCACGCCAGUCGUCUUCUCCCGCGGGGGGGUCCGGGCCGGCGCAGCUUCCCCGCCCGACCCCCCUCGGGUUCGCGCCGCGCGGAGCCCAGAUCCGUAUCCAAGGUGAUACAUGAGGGGUUGCUGGAUCUUCAAGAA